AUUGAACGCUGGCGGAAUGCUUUACACAUGCAAGUCGAACGGCAGCACGGACUUCGGUCUGGUGGCGAGUGGCGAACGGGUGAGUAAUACAUCGGAACGUGCCAAGUGGUGGGGGAUAACGUAGCGAAAGCUACGCUAAUACCGCAUACGAUCUGAGGAUGAAAGAGGGGGACCGUAAGUCAUCGCGCGAUUGGAACGGCCGAUGGCAGAUUAGGUAGUUGGGGGGGGAAAGGCUCACCACGCCCACGAUCUGUAGCUGGUCUGAGAUGACGACCGGCCACACUGGGACUGAGACACGGCCCAGACUCCUACGGGAGGCAGCAGUGGGGAAUUUUGGACAAUGGGCGCAAGCCUGAUCCAGCCAUUCCGCGUGCAGGAUGAAGGCCCUCGGGUUGUAAACUGCUUUUGUACGGAACGAAAAGGCUCUGGUUAAUACCUGGGGCUCAUGACGGUACCGUAAGAAUAAGCACCGGCUAACUACGUGCCAGCCGCCGCCGUAA
rnacentral:rRNA from 1 species